GGAGACGUGCCUGAGUGGUCGAAAGGGGCACCCUGCUAAGGUGUUAAGGAGCUUGCUCCUUCGAGGGUCCGAAUCCCUCCGUCUCCG
rnacentral:tRNA from 1 species